rnacentral:rRNA from 1 species
ACGGAGGGUGCAAGCGUUAAUCGGAAUUACUGGGCGUAAAGCGCGCGUAGGCGGCUUGUUAAGCCAGAUGUGAAAGCCCCGGGCUCAACCUGGGAACUGCAUUUGGAACUGGCAGGCUAGAGUACAGUAGAGGGUGGUGGAAUUUCCAGUGUAGCGGUGAAAUGCGUAGAGAUUGGAAGGAACAUCAGUGGCGAAGGCGGCCACCUGGACUGAUACUGACGCUGAGGUGCGAAAGCGUGGGGAGCAAACAGG